UGAGGAAUCUUCCACAAUGGACGAAAGUCUGAUGGAGCAAUACCGCGUGCAGGAAGACGCUUUUCGGAGUGUAAACUGCUUUUGUCGUCGAAGAUUAUGACUGUAGACGAAGAAUAAGGACCGGCUAACUACGUGCCAGCAGCCGCGGUAAUACGUAGGGUCCAAGCGUUAUCCGGAAUUACUGGGCGUAAAGCGUACGCAGAUGGCGUGAUAGGUGAGUUGUGAAAUCUUGUGGCUCAACCAUAUAGAC
rnacentral:rRNA from 1 species